ACGAGGUAGGGCAGCGGCGAGAAGCCCGCGGUCUUCGAGAGCCCGAAGACGUUGACGAAACCGAUGUUCGCCUCACUGGCCGCAUAC
rnacentral:tRNA from 1 species